CGCGGCCUAUCAGCUUGUUGGUGAGGUAACGGCUCACCAAGGCAUCGACGGGUAGCUGGUCUGAGAGGAUGAUCAGCCACACUGGGACUGAGACACGGCCCAGACUCCUACGGGAGGCAGCAGUGGGGAAUCUUGCGCAAUGGGCGAAAGCCUGACGCAGCAACGCCGCGUGGGGGAUGGAGGCUCUCGGGUUGUAAACCCCUUUCAGUGGGGACGAAAUUGACGGUACCCACAGAAGAAGCCCCGGCCAACUACGUGCCAGCAGCCGCGGUAACACGUAGGGGGCAAGCGUUGUCCGGAUUUAUUGGGCGUAAAGAGCUCGUAGGCGGUUCAGUAAGUCGGGUGUGAAAACUCUGGGCUUAACCCAGAGCCGCCACCCGAUACUGCUGUGACUAGAGUCCGGUAGGGGAGUGGGGAAUUCCUAGUGUAGCGGUGAAAUGCGCAGAUAUUAGGAGGAACACCGGUGGCGAAGGCGCCACUCUGGGCCGGAACUGACGCUGAGGAGCGAAAGCGUGGGUAGCAAACAGGAUUAGAUACCCUGGUAGUCCAGGCCGUAAACGUUGGGCACUAGGUGUGGGCCUCAACCAACGAGGUCCGUGCCGUCGCUAACGCAUUAAGUGCCCCGCCUGGGGAGUACGG
rnacentral:rRNA from 1 species